UAUAUUUUAAAUUAAAUAUAUUAUUAAUUUAUUAAAAAUUGCAGCCCGAUGUUGUCACAAUAAAUUUUGUUCUGACAACAAAUAAAUGUGACGAUAUUACAAUAAGUAAUAUUUCGUUAUAGUUGAUAAUCUAAAAGAGAAUAAACGGCAAUUAUAGUGUUGAAAACAGUGCUUAAUUUCAGAUUUACAAUAUAGAAGUGUGGUUUCGGUGUCCGGUUUUAAGAGUUAUUUUACAACAAGACUUGUGCUGUUUUAGCUAUAACAGAUAUUGAAAUCUGCAGACGAAAGUUUGUAAAUGGAAACAAAGUCGUCAUAUAACUGUAAGAAGAUAAUACCUGCAUUAAUUUCACUAUGUAUGUUAAUUUUUUAACUAUUAAAUUUCAUUAUUAAAAAUAUUCAUAUAUGUAGAGUAUUGCGUAUUUGUAUUGUAC